rnacentral:rRNA from 1 species
AUGAAAGCAAGAUUGAAGAAGCAUAUUGGAGCUAUUAUUAGUGCUCACGCUGAAGCUCAAGAAAAAUAUGAUAUGUUCACUACACCUAUAACAUCAAUUAGGGAGUCUAUUGCUUCGAACACCUCACAAUACAAGGCUUUGUAUAAACAAUGUUUGACAUGGACACUCAAGUGUGUGAGAUUUCUGUUGCGCCAAGGCUUGGCAUUUAGGGGGCAUGAUGAAAAUGAGUCUAGUGAUGUGUAUCAGAAUGAACAGUUGGUUGUUUGCUUGCGUUAUGUUGGUAAGAAAGGAAGGGCGGUUGUAAGAUUUCUUGGUCUUGCUCAUGUUGAAGAUACCACCUCUUUGACACUAAAAGCUGCAAUUUAG